rnacentral:rRNA from 1 species
UACGGGGGGGGCAAGCGUUGUUCGGAAUUACUGGGCGUAAAGGGUUUGUAGGUGGCUUGUUAAGUCAGACGUGAAAUCCCUCAGCUUAACUGGGGAACUGCGUCUGAUACUGGCGAGCUUGAGUGCAGGAGAGGAACGCGGAAUUCCAGGUGUAGCGGUGAAAUGCGUAGAUAUCUGGAGGAACACCGGUGGCGAAGGCAGCUCGCUGGGACGGUACUGACGCUGAGGCGCGAAAGCGUGGGGAGCGAACAGG